rnacentral:rRNA from 1 species
AGCAAUAGAAGUGGCGAAAGGGCGAGGAAUAGAUUCCCACGUACCCCGAGGCCAGGGAUACCUCAGAGAAAUCUGAGACAAUACCUGAUGACAUCGGAAACGAUCAAAGGUUUACCACCUUGGGAGCGGGGAAUCUCCUAUCAGCUAGUUGGUGAGGUAAUGGCUCACCAAGGCGAAGACGGGUAGCGGGUGUGAGAGCACGGCCCGCCGCAUCGAGACUGAGACACUGCUCGGACUCCUACGGGAGGCUGCAGUAACGAAUCUUCCGCAAUGCACGAAAGUGUGACGGGGCAAUGCCGCGUGUGGGAUGAAGCCCUUAGGGGUGUAAACCACUGUCAGGGACUACCAACAACAUGAGGAGUCCCAAAGGAAGAGCCGGCUAACUCUGUGCCAGCAGCCGCGGUAAUACAGAGGGCUCGAGCGUUAAUCGGAAUCACUGGGCUUAAAGCGUGCGUAGGCGGAUUUGAAGGCGCUUUGUGAAAUCCCUCGGCUCAACCGAGGAACUGCUUGGCGAACCACAAAUCUUGAGGCUGGUAGAGGUGGUCGGAACAAUAGGUGGAGCGGUGAAAUGCGUAGAUAUCUAUUGGAACACCGAAGGUGAAGACAGGCCACUGGGCCAGUCCUGACGCUGAGGCACGAAAGCGUGGGUAGCAAACGGGAUUAGAUACCCCGGUAGUCCACGCCGUAAACGAUGCGCACUUGGUCGAGGGGGUUGAACGCCUUCUCGGCCGUAGGAAAACUGAUUAGUGCGCCGCCUGGGGAGUACGGUCGCAAGAUUAAAACUCAAAGGAAUUGACGGGGCUCACACAAGCGGUGGGAGCAUGUGGCUUAAUUCGAAGCAACGGCGAGAACCUUAUCCUAGGCUUGAAAUGCACGGAUUAACCUCCUUGAAAGGGAGGCACACUCGCAGAGUGGAACGUGCACAGGUGCUGCAUGGCUGUCGUCAGCUCGUGCUGUGAAGUGUCGGGUAAGUUCUCAA